UAACAUUUUAGUUGAGCAAGUUAAUACCUGCACUUCACAGUCCCUUCUCAGAGAUGAUGAAUCUUAAAACCACAGCUGUUCUUUUGAUCAUUCUGAGUUUUGUCACUGUCAAUUCUGAAGCUAAACUUAUUAGCUGUUGUACAGAGACGGCAUCUUACAUCCCAUUGAGUAUUCUAAGAAAAGUGGACAGAAUUGAAAUGCAGAAAGAAGAUGGCUUGUGUGACAUUAAAGCUGCAGUAAUCCAUGUGAAUGGGAAAAAACUGUGUUUGGAUCCAGAUAUCAAGACAAUUAAAAAGUGGAUCAAAAUGAAGACCCAGAGGAAAUACAGAAGCGAGAUUUUUUAAACUACCAUAUUGACAGCAGGAAGCAAUGAAACCUGAUCAGGAGCAGGAAUGAAGUUAGACUUCAGUCUAAAUAUAAUAGUUUGCUCACUAUCGGUUACCACAAACAUUUCAUUUUUAUACACAGUUUAUUAAAAUGCUUUAUAAGAUACAUUUCAUUAUUUGUAACACUAAUGCCCAAACACUUCUAGACUCUUACAGUCAGCGAUGGUCAUUCACCUAAAAAAAAUCUCUAAGUUUCAGAAAACACACCUGUUUAGUAGUCCACUUGUUUAGUCCAAUAGUUACUUGUUUCAAUUUAUUUGUAAAUUUGUAAACCACCAGCCAUAUACUGAAUAUCUGAAUCAUGAACGGGGCCAAAAAAUUAAACAGUACUUAUUAGUAGUAUUUCACACAGUAAUGUGAAAAAAGUAUUACACUACAUAUAAUGUAGACAACUGUAUAAAAAAAUAAACAUAAUAUUUCCUCAAUUUGAUUUAGUUAUGACACAAAAUACUUAAGAAACUUUUUACUGAAUUAGAGGUGUGUUACACUGUGAUGACAUCAUCAUACCUGGUGAAAAACAAUAAGCUUGGAUCAAGACAAACACUAGUGAUCACCUGGAAAUACCUUAUUCAAUAACAUAAUAACCAAAUUAAAAAAAAAAAGGUAUCUGUAAGUAUCUGUUGUGGUUUUAGGUAUAGUGUACAUGGAUGUACCAGUAUCAUAAUAUUUUAAACAUUUAUUUGUAAAACUACAGCUACAUACAGUAGCUCACUACAUAUUGUCUAUGAUACAUGCCAAUGCUUUCUUUUUCUAAAACUGUACACUAACGUUUAUUUUUUCAUCAAAAUA